UACUAGAGUAGCACUCGCAUAUCAAUAAGCGGAGGAAAAGAAACUAACAAGGAUUCCCCUAGUAACGGCGAGUGAAGCGGGAAGAGCUCAAAUUUGAAAUCUUAAAGGGUUUCCCUUUACGAAUUGUAGUUUAAAGAAGUGUUUUCUGUUGGAGUUUCGGUAAAAGUUCUUUGGAAUAGGACAUCAUAGAGGGUGAGAAUCCCGUAUUUGACCGUUACUUUCCAGCUGUGUGAUACACUUUCAAAGAGUCGGAUUGUUUGGGAAUGCAGUCCAAAAUGGGUGGUAAAUUUCAUCUAAAGCUAAAUAUUGGCGAGAGACCGAUAGCGAACAAGUACCGUGAGGGAAAGAUGAAAAGAACUUUGGAAAGAGAGUUAAACAGUACGUGAAAUUGUCAAAAGGGAAGCGUUUGACACCAGUGUUGUUUUCUCGAAAAUCAAUUAAAAAUGAUGGGAUUUUGUGUUGUAUUGACUUUAUCAGCUUUCUGCACUUUUUUUCCUAUCUUUUUUAAUGCACUUUUCGUUUAACAAGUCAACAUCAAUUUCUUUUGUUGUAAAAGGGUCAUUGGAAGGUGGCUUUCUUUUCGGAGAAAGUGUUUAUAGCCUUUGGCCUCUGCAAUCGGAGAGAUUGAGGUCUGCAGCGUAGAUCCUUCGGGGUUAGAUGCAUUUGUGCUAAGCUAUAGCCUUUCAUAGACAACUUGUUGACUAUGAUCAGUCAUGUAGCUUACUCGCUUAUGUCAUUUUACCUACGCUUAGGAUGUUGAUAGUACAGCGUGUAC
rnacentral:rRNA from 1 species